UAACAUCGGAACGUGCCCUGUAGUGGGGGAUAACUAGUCGAAAGAUUAGCUAAUACCGCAUACGACCUGAGGGUGAAAGUGGGGGACCGGCAAGGCCUCAUGCUAUAGGAGCGGCCGAUGUCUGAUUAGCUAGUUGGUGAGGCAAAGGCUCACCAAGGCGACGAUCAGUAGCUGGUCUGAGAGGACGAUCAGCCACACUGGGACUGAGACACGGCCCAG
rnacentral:rRNA from 1 species